CCGAGUUUACAACUCCCAAACCCCUGUGAACAUACCUACUUGUUGCCUCGGCGGAUCAGCCCGCGCCCCGUAAAACGGGACGGCCCGCCAGAGGACCCCUAAACUCUGUUUCUUAGUGGAACUUCUGAGUAAAACCAUAAAAUAAAUCA
rnacentral:misc_RNA from 1 species